UACGUAGGGUGCGAGCGUUAAUCGGAAUUACUGGGCGUAAAGCGUGCGCAGGCGGUUUUGUAAGCCGGAUGUGAAAUCCCCGGGCUUAACCUGGGAAUGGCAUUCGGGACUGCAAGGCUGGAGUGCGGCAGAGGAGACUGGAAUUCCUGGUGUAGCAGUGAAAUGCGUAGAUAUCAGGAGGAACACCGGUGGCGAAGGCGGGACUCUGGGCCGAUACUGACGCUGAGGAGCGAAAGCGUGGGGAGCAAACAGG
rnacentral:rRNA from 1 species